CAGUUUAUUGUUUGUUGUUUUGCUGUGUCAGGGUUUUAUAACUCUAUCAAAUAAUUUUUGCUUGCACAAUUUUCAUGUUGGUCUUGCGACAGUAUAGAACUAACCUAAUCUGUCUACGCUAAUCAGCACAUGCAAGUCGUUUGAUGUUCAUAUGAGGUUCAUAUGGUUUGAGUUCCAUUCUCACUUUCAUACCAAUCAUACAGUAACACGGUAAACAUCAUCACACAAGAGCUUUACUAAGGACAGCAAAGUCAAUAAAUACAAUUGCAGACCUGAAAAGACUUCAUUCAAGAGCUAAAAAAGAAGACAUGAAAAUUUUAUUCAUUGUGCUGAGUCAUCUAAUUUUCAAAAAUCAGUCACAAUGGAGUAUUACCAAGCAUUGAAAGUAGUGGAAAUUCAAUAUCACAAGAAGCAGAUAUAGAGAGUAUAGAGGACAUAUAUUGUGGAAGAUUUCGGAAAAUACUGUAUGCAAAAACAAACAAACGUGCUUCAUCCUACUAAAGAAAUGGCAUCUUGAAGUUUACUGGUUAUGUGUUGUCCAACGUAAAAUGGAGUGUGUUGCUCGAACACUUUAUGCUGUAAUUUUAUCAUUAUGAGUGCAAGCUACCUGAAGGAUGCGAGGUCCGCUUAACUUAACAUGACCAAUGGCAUCGUGGAAAAGGGUUCUCUAUGCACUGAUCUUUUAUGAUACGUAAAACUUUCAGUGAUUGCAGAAGAUGAGGAAAGUGAUUGAAGAAAACCUUCAGGUUUGAUUUGUAAAAUGAUAGUUAAAUAGACAAGAGCAGACUUUAUAAGAGAAUAUUUAACAUGAAUGUUUGCAUGCUUUGGAAAUAAUCUUAUUUACACUAGAUAUAUGAAAUUUGUGUUCUAUUUCAUUUUGCGAUACAGACUGCUUGUAUUUAUAAAAAAUAUUUUGUUAUAAAUAUAGAUAACCAUGAUUCAAAGAAAAUCAGUUUUAAUAUUGACAAAAUAAUUCAACUAACGAAAAGCAA